AAAGAUCGAUACCGAGGGGGGGGGCACGAUGCUCCGGAGACACCCCUGCUUCGUCAGGCAGUCUGUACCGCGUACAGCCUGAAACUCCCUAAACCUCAACAACCAGCCACUCCGGCGUGAAGGUAUCGUUCU
rnacentral:ncRNA from 1 species